GGGGGUGUUUGGUUUUGACAGCAUAGAUCUUUGAAAGUGUAAGCAUGCAGUGCGUUGGAUAAUUAGCACUUUAAUCUGAAUAUUCGAACUACAAAUGGCAAUACUCAGUAUGCCAUGGCUGCCUAAUCAGUGAUUUAGCAGUCAUUAGGGCCGCCGCACAGGUUUGUCUGUAACCAAGUGCCGCCGCCGACAUCAAACAAAUACAGGCUGCUGCAACGGAAGGCUGUGACCGUUGCUUAAGACCAUCCAGCUAAGGAAACAAUUGGUUAGUUCUGUUCCGGUUGUUUCCCGACAAGCAAUACAGAAAUAAGCAUGUAGAAAGCUUUUGAAUGUCAUGUUUGGACACCGGUUCGAUUCCGGUCACCUCCACCU
rnacentral:tmRNA from 1 species